CGCACUCUUCCCAUGCCACUUCCGUAAUUUCCUAUCGCUCCCCCCUCUCUCUCCGCGUGGGAUCGUUCUCACCACAACCGCAGCUCGCGCCCUCCCGCCGGACACCUGCAGGUGUCUGUGUUCGGAAGAAAGCCUCUCUCGCCGCUCCCACGCCCCAGCGCCCUUCUCAGCACACGAUCCCUCCUCCCACCCCCUCGACCCAACAGCAAAGAUGCCCGAGAAGUGCAUCGGCAUCACCACGGUUCAGGUGGGCCACGUCGUGGGCAGGGGUGGCUCGACGCUCAAAGGCAUCCAGGAGCGCACCGGGGCGACUCUGUGUAUCGUGGAAGACGGCCCGCAGGUGAAGAUUACCGCUGACGACGCUGCCAAGGUGGCCGCCGCGGAGGCGGAGGUGCAGAAAAUCGUUGCCAACCAGCAGAAGCCCGACUACGAAGGACCGUGCGGCGCGCGCCUGCGCAAGGAGGCGGACGAACUCGGCCAGAAGCGCUCGAAACUCUUCGAAGAGGCGACCAAGAUGCGGGAGGCCGGUGACCAUGAGGGCGCGAACAAAUUAGUCGCGAUGGCCAAGAAGGCUGGCGAAGACAUGAAGGCCCGCCACCGCGAGGCAGCCUUGGCGAUUGCCAAGCACAACAACGAGGAAAAGGGCAAGGGUCAGAACUACUUCGACAUGCACGGCCUGCACCUAGAGGAGGCGAUAGAGAUGCUGAAGGUGCGCAUGGACAAGCUGGAAGAGAAGCCGGUGGGCUCGACGACGGAGUUCGAAGUAAUUCCAGGCGCCGGCCACCACUCCGCCCCUGGAACGCAGAAACUGAGGCGCGCCACACUAGAGUACGUGCAGUUGAAGGGCUACCCGUACGAAGAGGUCAACGCUGGCGCGUUCCUGGUGAAGGUGCCCGGCUUAAGCGGGGGUGUCCUCUCGAAGCCGGAGGAUGGCGACAAGGCGCCGACUAAGCCCAAGGAGUCUGCGACGGGGGUGGCGAACAAGCCCAAGGCUUUGGCUUCAGCGGCGACCAGCAAGAGCAAGGGCCAGUCCUGCUGCGCGUGCAUGUAAAUCUCAGGAAGGUAGGCCAGCAUGUGCAAGGUGUGUGCGACGCUGCUGCCGAUGCUUACGCCGGCAUCCUGCUCAUGAACGUGUGGCGCACAUCUGCGCCUCUUAUGGCCUAUGCCCGUGCGUAGGGGUGUGGGUCCGCUCUUUGUCUUUCGGUACGCCGAUGGAUUGCCUACUUGGUCACAAAAACCGCCUCGACGAGUGGGGCUCCGUGUGUGCACAUGCUGACUGCGGACGCUCCCUAGCAAUUCUGUGUUUGCGUGUUGCUAUCCUCUCCCCACCCCCUCUUCUUCGUUUUUUUUUCGCGUCCACACGUGAGCGUUUCGCUUACUCCUCUUCCUCUCUCACAAUGCGCGGCGUUGUUCAUGUUUGCGUGUGGCUCCGUCUACCCGUAUACCCAAUCCCCACCAUCACCACCACCCCAACGUCCCCCCCUCCCACCGCUCCUCUGCCACGUUCACCUUUGUUUGUUUAUUGAUGCGAAUCAUCCUCUUUUUUUUUAAG
rnacentral:misc_RNA from 1 species